rnacentral:lncRNA from 1 species
UGGUAAUGGUUGACGGGAAUAGGUCUGUGGCAUGGUUGACAGGAAUGUCUGUUUCAUGGUAAUGGUUGACCAGGGAAAAUGUCUGUUGUCAUGGUAAUGGUUGACAAGGGAAAUGUCUGUGGCAUGGUUGACCAGGGAAAUGUCUGUUGUCAUGGUAUGGUUGACCAGGGAAUGUCUGUGUCAUGGUAAUGGUUGACAAGGGAAAUGUCUGGGCAUGGGUUGACCAGGGAAAGGUCUGUUGUCAUGGUAAUGUUGACCAGGGAAAUGUCUGUGGAAUGGUAAUGGUUGACCAGGGAAAUGUCUGUGGCAUGGUAAUGGUUGACCAGGGAAAUGUAUGUUGUCAUGGUAAUGGUUGACCAGGGAAAUGGCUGUGGCAUGGUAGACCAGGGACAUGUCUGUGGCAUGGUAUGGUUGACCAGGGAAAUGAUGUGGAGGUAAUGGUUGACCAGGGAAAUGACUGGCUGGUAAUGGUUGACCAGGGAAAAGUCGGUUGUCAUGGUAAUGGUUGACCAGGGAAAUGUCUGUGGCAUGGUAAUGGUUGACCAGGGCAAUGACUGUGGCAUGAUAAUGGUUACCAGGGAAAUGUCUGUUGUCAUGGUAAUGGUUGACAGGGAAAUGUCUGUUGUCAUGGUAAUGGUUGACCAGGGCAUGACUGUGGCAUGGUAAUGGUUGACCAGCGAAAUGUCUGUGGCAUGGUAAUGGUUGACCAGGGAAAUGUCUGUUGUCAUGGUAAUGGUUGACAUUUACUGUGGUCUUAAAUGACAAACUGUCCUAUAAAUGACUUAAUAAUCUAGCAAAAAAUACCUCAAUCCAGAUACGUCAUGAGGGCACAAAAUGAUCCAUUCACAAUAGGCCUUUUCCUUGACAUUACAGGACAUGACAGGCAUAAUCACCAGUGCUACAAUAACAUAUCACACACUCCGGGUUAUCAGAAGACAAAAAUGUAUCUCUGAGGCCUUAGUUGACUUAUAAACAGACCCUACAUUCUAUAGCCAUUCAUCUGAUAAGAACAGUAAAUGUUGACAAAUGUCCCUCAACACGAAACUCAAUAGAAUGCAAGUUAAAUGAAACACAUGAAUAAUAUGUACCUUAAUGUUUUUAACAUCAAGAUCAGGGGAGAGCGCGAACGCAGUCCCCCACUACCAGAAAUUAUGCAAUCGAGAUUUCCACAUUUGAGAAAUUCGCAGGGGUCAGCACAGCCGGAGUGCAAUGGCUGAGCCUCGCCCUGGGUGAACCGCCUUCUUGAUCACGGUGUCUCCCUUGCCAGGUAAGUAUGAGUUCUACACGUGGUAGAGGAGCACUCCUUCCAGGACAAAGGUGUUUGACCACGGUUACCACUUCUAAUACUGAUAAUACCACAUCAUAUUGAACAAGGUUUAAUGACAUUUA